rnacentral:rRNA from 1 species
UUGAACGCUGGCGGAAUGCUUUACACAUGCAAGUCGAGCGGCAGCGCGGGGGCAACCCUGGCGGCGAGCGGCGAACGGGUGAGUAAUGUAUCGGAACGUACCCUGUCGUGGGGGAUAACACAGCGAAAGCUGUGCUAAUACCGCAUACGACCUGAGGGUGAAAGCGGGGGAUCGCAAGACCUCGCGCGAUAGGAGCGGCCGAUGUCGGAUUAGCUAGUUGGUGAGGUAAAGGCUCACCAAGGCGACGAUCCGUAGCGGGUCUGAGAGGAUGAUCCGCCACACUGGGACUGAGACACGGCCCAGACUCCUACGGGAGGCAGCAGUGGGGAAUUUUGGACAAUGGGCGCAAGCCUGAUCCAGCCAUGCCGCGUGAGUGAAGAAGGCCUUCGGGUUGUAAAGCUCUUUCGGCGGGGAAGAAAUCGCACUGGUUAAUACCUGGUGUGGAUGACGGUACCCGAAUAAGAAGCACCGGCUAACUACGU